UCUAGGUGACCUACAUUCGCAUAAGCGUUUCCACAUGGCCUCACAACCCAAUCAUACUUAACUGAGUUUCUUUUAUUUUAAAAUUGAUAAUAAGGUUUGUCCGUGCUCUUACCCAAACUCUAAUCUUGAAUUGUAUGCUCCAUAAUCUUCACCUGUGAAGGGAGAGACCAGGUGGAGGUAAUAAUUUAAUCAUUGGGGCAGGUUUCCUAUGUGAGGGAGUUCUCGUGAGAUCUUAUGGCUAUAUAAGUGUUUGGUAGUUCCUCCUGCGUUCAUUCUUCCUCCUACCUCCUUGGGACGAAGGUGUCUUGCUGUCCUGUUAUCAGUUGCUGCGAAUGUAAGCCUCCUGACGCUUCCCCAGUCAUGCAGAACUAUGUGACAAAGAAGAUUGCCAUCCCAGCUGCUUCUGAAAGCCUACCUGUAACUAAGGAGUGACCCACCUCGGGAUCUGCAGGUGAUUAUGACACCUGCAGGUGGGAGCCAGACCCCGCUACACUGAGGCUUUGGAAAGCACCGGGAAAACAAAGAAUGCAGGGCACCACAGCCCCCAAACUGAACCAAAUGGAGACCAGCAGAAGAAGGGAAAGAAGACAUGUUUCCUCCGCUGGUUCCCUGAAGAAAAAUUACACAUAUAUCUAAUGUUUAAUUAGUGAUAAUAAUAAAUUUCCUCUGUUCAACUGUCCUGCUUAAUUU
rnacentral:lncRNA from 13 species